ACUCCUACGGGAGGCAGCAGUGGGGAAUCUUAGACAAUGGGGGAAACCCUGAUCUAGCCAUGCCGCGUGGACGAUGAAGGCCUUAGGGUUGUAAAGUCCUUUCAGCUGGGAAGAUAAUGACGGUACCAGCAGAAGAAGCCCCGGCUAACUCCGUGCCAGCAGCCGCGGUAAUACGGAGGGGCUAGCGUUGUUCGGAAUUACUGGGCGUAAAGCGCACGUAGGCGGACUAUUAAGUCAGAUGUGAAAGCCCGGGGCUUAACCUCGGAAUUGCAUUUGAAACUGGCAGGCUAGAGUCUUGUAGAGGGGGUAGAAUUUCAGGUGUAGCGGUGAAAUGCGUAGAGAUCUGAAGGAAUACCAGUGGCGAAGGCGGCCCCCUGGACAAAGACUGACGCUCAGAUGCGAAAGCGUGGGGAGCAAACAGGAUUAGAUACCCUGGUAGGAUAGCGU
rnacentral:rRNA from 1 species